rnacentral:rRNA from 1 species
GGAGUUUGGGCCGUGUCUCAGUCCCAAUGUGGCCGUUCACCCUCUCAGGCCGGCUACUGAUCGUCGCCUUGGUGGGCCGUUACCUCACCAACUAGCUAAUCAGACGCGGGUCCAUCUUAUACCGAUAAAUCUUUUCACACUGUGUCAUGCGACACCGUGCGCUUAUGCGGUAUUAGCAGUAAUUUCUCACUGUUAUCCCCCUGUAUAAGGCAGGUUACCCACGCGUUACUCACCCGUCCGCCACUAAGUUUACAAUCACUAGGUUUCAUGUAAACUCCGUUCGACUUGCAUGUGUUAAGCACGCCGCCAGCGUUCAUC